CACACACUAAUUUCCGCCUUACUCUGUAACCAGUGACUCAGCACUCACCAUUUUCUCGCAUCAACACACACUAAUUUCCGCGCCAAACACACCCACGCUCUCCCCUAAGCCCCGAACCUGUGUCGUCUUGGGCGGCCGAGGCUUCCUCGGGAGAUUGCUCGUCCUCCGGCUCUUGAACCUCGGCAAGUGGAUAGUCCGCGUCGCCGAUUCGACUCAGUCCCUCCAUCUCGAUCCCUCCGAGCGCGACCCGCUCCUUUCGCAAGCUCUCUCCUCCGGCCGCGCUUCCUUGCACGGCAUCGAUGUUCGCAACACGUCUCAAAUCAUCACUGCAAUUGAAGGUUCAUCUGUAGUGUUCUGUUUGGAUGGGGCUGAUUUACCCAAAGACGAUUUCUACCAGUGCUAUAUGAUUGUUGUUCAAGUUUGAUGAUAUGGCUUGAUUUUCCAAGGAAUUUUCCGAUCGUUUUUCGUUGGAUUUUGGACUUCUAAUAGAAACCGGUGUGUGCAGACAGAGGCCUGUAGCGGCAGACGGUGGAGACCGGCAGGUGAUCAGAGAAGAAGAAGGUGAGACGUACCUAGAGGACGAGCGUGGACAAGCGAAGCUAGGGGGCUACAAUCCUGCUACUUAUCAGUUCUAGGUACCUAUUCAUCAUUGGUGGCUCAUGAGAACUACUUGGCAGUUCUGACGUUCUACUAAAUAAAAACCAUUACUGAAAGUUCCUGCUAAGAUGGCUUGGUACAUCCUAUUGUUCAUCAAAUGGAUAGCCGAAAAGUAUGGAAUGAUAAAAUACAAUGAUUCUAUGUCAGUGCAAUACAUUCGAUUAGUUUCACGUAAUAGAAUGUUCGACUGCACUGCGACCCAAAAGCAGAUUGGGUAUUCACCAGUUAUCUCACGGGAAGAAGGUGUCACAUUAACCAUUGAGUCAUUCUCUAAUUUAGCCAGAAACUCAUCUUUCCCAACUUUCAGAAACUUUAAUGAGGAAUCAAAAGUGGAGAAGGUUGUUUUCCGUUGUAGCAUUUUUAAUUUGAUUUUGCAUGGUCCCAUGGUAAUACGUAAUUUGGUCCCCAGCUUGACUUCUACUGAUGAAAAGGGUUUAAAAUAAGUUGGAACACACCAAGCUGGCAACUUAUACAGGAUUUGCGUUUCAGAAUACAUAUCCAGAUCAAACGUGAUUGUUCAUAUGCAUUCACACAGGCCAGAGGAAGCUUUGUCCUCUGUUUUUGUACUUUUUAUUUUCUUUGAAUGUUUUUUGCUUAUAAUAAAUGAAAAUAUAUGCAUGCUAGAACUUUCAUGAAAGCUGUUUAUUGUUUUAUUUUGACUGUAGAAUGACCUUGAACUGUCACUGCAGUUGCAGACAUUUUGCGAUGGCAUGAUGAGAAGAAAUCUUU
rnacentral:sRNA from 1 species